UUAACACCAUUAAUUUUUAACUGUGACUUAGACGUUUAAUUAUUUAUUGCUGGUCCGUGUGAAAACAUUUAGAAUGGCUGGCAGCCUACCAGGCCCUGAGUUAAACAUUCUACGGCCUGACUAGACUGCUGGGUAGCCAACUUCACAUCAAAUUAAACACAUUCUCUUCAUGAUGAAUAGCUUGGAACCCAAAAACUUGAUUUUGUUACAAAAAAUGCAAGGGGUGUGUUGUUUUCUAAAUUAAAAUUAUUUUAUGUUUUACUGCCACCAUUCUGGUUGUGAUUUGAUGUCAAGUGUAUUUUCUUUGGUGGUGGUGAGAUGGAAGAGAAAUGGACAAUGAGGGACUUUUGGUACUAAUAAAAUAAAAAAAGGACUCCAGCAAGGUUGGACACAAUGUAGCUUAGAGAUGAACAUUCAUGAAUUUUGUAUUGAAAAAAUUUACAUUUCAUUAACAUUUUAAAUUACAAAGGCAGGUCUACAAAUACUGAUUUGUAUGUGUGUGUUCUCAUUGCAUUUUCCAAGCAAACAGUGAAUAACGUAAUGCUAACUUGACUAUAUCCUGUUUCCUUACCAUUAAUUUCCCUUUUUAUUUUAAAGUGUGAGCUAACUGUAAUGUGUAGCAACAUUAAUUUCAGUGAACCCCACUUUACAUUUUCUAUAGAUCUAUGCACAUAAACUCCAUGUAAUGUUCCCUUAUGUAACAAAUGCUUGGGGAUAAUGAAGUGUAGUCCGAGCAUCAUUGCUCAGCUAUGUAGUAAAGCAAUUCUCCACAGACUUGCCACUCUAGUUCUGCAUCCACAUGGAUAGCAAUCAACUGUCUUGAUAAUGAGUGACAAUAUAAAAACGGAAUGUUUGACAAUAUUCCCUAGAGAUUAGAAUUAUUCAACUUCAGUUUGUCAUUCUUUUAAACAUGUACUCUGGGAAGUUCUGUGAAGUUAGAAGGAAUUUGAAAGGGUUGAGGAAAUAGUGGCUGGCUGAUGUAAUGAAUGGGAAUGUUGGAACUGAGAACUCAAGGAGCUGGCUGUCCAGCAGGCUGCCGGUUGAGGGUAAUUGACAGGCAGGUGCCUGAGAAAUGACAGGAAAGGCCCUAGUUUUAGUUAUUGGCAUCAGUAAUAAUGGCAUUAUGGCUCUAGGUUGUGAUUGAAGAAGAAAAUCAUGUAUCAUAUGAAUUUAAAGUGUGUUAACUAUUCAGUUGCAGGAAGUUACAGCAUCUAAAAACUGAAAGCCCUUUAACCAGAAUCUCUCAUUUAAGAACUUGUUCUUGUGUAGUUUGAAAAUAUAGCAGCUUAAGAAAAACAUAUCAGUUUUAGAUAUAUUUUUGGUAGAACUAUAAACUUUAAAAAUCACAGAAUUAAGUAUUUACUUUUAUGAAAGUGCUUUUCCUUUGAAUGCUUGGAGCAUUCUCAGAAACUUAACAUAGUUUGGAGUUCUCUUCUUGAAGAAGCGGCCAUCAGUGAAGAAUACAGCCUUUUGAUGUUGUAGUAUUACUGAGCUCUGACAGUUGUCUUUAUUAACUCUGUCUCCUUCCAGCAGUGUGGAGCCCCCUAUCACUGGGCUUUCCAUGUGUUGUAACUGAAUGCAACAUUUUCAGGCAUGAAUGGGUAAACAUGAAGAAUUUCUUGGUUAUCUCUGUGGUUCUGCCAUUAAACUACUCUGAUUUACUCAUCACAGUUGCAUUCUUGGGAUGAAUUUGUAUUAAGAUCACAAAUGAAAUUCAUUAACUCAUUCAAAAUCAACCGGAGAAUGUUUUUAAUUAAACAGGAAGAUGACGUACAGAAGCUGGCAAUGUUGAAACCUAGAUACUUAAAUAGUACAUCUAAAAUUAAUUGGGGGAAUAUUGAUACAGUUUAAAACAGAAGGAAUAAAAUAAAAAAUGAUUUUUGUUUUUAAAUAAUUGGAAGUGUUGGCCAAAGAUAGUAGUCAUUCUGCCUUGGAAUAACAUUUGGAUUUCACAAUUUGAGUUUUAUUUUCAUGUUUGUUUUGACAAAAUGCUUAUUUUGCUUUCUUCGACAUGAAAAGGUUUAAGGCUUUGAACUUUUUGAAACUGCUAGAUCUAAUUGUUGAAGUUUUGAAAACAAAUCCAAGGGAAUGUCAAAAAUAAAUAAGUUAGAAUUACUAUUGCAGCAAACCCAUCUACUCACAAAAUUGCCUUUCAAAGAUACCUUUUUCUCAAAAACAAAAGAGGGAAACAUAUUUUACAAAUUUAUUAUUGUCAUUUUAAUGCCACUUUAAGUGUGUUUUCUUUGACUCCAAUUUUAACAGUUUAAAAAUAGAUGAUUACCGAAUCUUUUUUUCUUAAAGCAAAGGAGUCCAGCUCAAUAUGUUAAAUCUACUAUUAAAAGUUGCCCUGUUAGUAUACUUUUCUUCAUGGGAUUGUCCAUUACACUUAAGUAGACAAAAUAAGUUAUCUCAUUUAUUUCACACUAUAUGACUUUGUUUCUUCCAACUAUAGCUUCAGCUUUAAAGAAUACCUUCAUCAUUUCUUUUUGCAUCAGCUCAGAAUUCAGAAGGCAUAAAAGAAAUUGCUAGUUUUCAUUCUCUUCAGUAUGCUUCCAUAAAGUAAUCCUUACAUAAUGUGAAGUUUGUUUUGUUUUUGUUAUUAGUAUUUCUUUUCCUACUAGUUACCAAAGAGAUUUAUUAUGACAGUGCCCCCAAAUCAUGUAAGUUGUGGCCUGGAAUAGCAGAUGACGACUUCUUUAAAAAGGUGUAUUGAAGGGCGCCUGCGUGGCUCAGUUGUAAGCAUCUGCCUUCCGCUGAGGUCAUCAUCCCUUCUCAGCUGGGGGU